UCUCGAUUGGUCUAGUGGUCAGGAUACCUGCUUGUCAUUGGAUAGUAUUGAUCGUUUGAUCAUCCAGUUCCGAGGAUCGUCUGAGACUCAAGAGACAAUUCGCAGGUGGCCGGGGUUCGAUUCCCCGAUCGAGAG